GAUGAACGCUGGCGGUAUGCUUAACACAUGCAAGUCGAACGGACUCUUCGGAGUUAGUGGCGGACGGGUGAGUAACGCGUGAGAAUCUGGCUUUGGGUUCGGGACAACCACUGGAAACGGUGGCUAAUACCGGAUGUGCCGAGAGGUAAGAGAGAAAUUGCCUGAAGAUGAGCUCGCGUCUGAUUAGCUAGGUGGUGAGGUAAAGGCCCACCAAGGCAGCGAUCAGUAGCUGGUCUGGGAGGAUGACCAGCCACACGGGGACUGAGACGCUGCCCAGACUCCUGCGGGAGGCAGCAGUGGAGAAUGUUCCGCGAUGGGCGAAAGGCUGACGGGGCAAUGCCGCGUGGGGGAAGAAGGCUCUUGUGUUGUAAACCUCUUUUCGUAGGGAAGAACAUAAUGACGGUACCUAAGGAAUCAGCAUCGGCUAACUCCGUG
rnacentral:rRNA from 1 species